CCUACGGGAGGCAGCAGUGGGGAAUAUUGGACAAUGGGCGAAAGCCUGAUCCAGCCAUGCCGCGUGUGUGAAGAAGGCCUUCGGGUUGUAAAGCACUUUCAGUGGGGAAGAAAGCCUUGGGGCUAAUACCCUCGAGGAAGGACAUCACCCACAGAAGAAGCACCGGCUAACUCCGUGCCAGCAGCCGCGGUAAUACGGAGGGUGCGCGCGUUAAUCGGAAUUACUGGGCGUAAAGCGCGCGUAGGCGGUCUGAUAAGCCGGUUGUGAAAGCCCCGGGCUCAACCUGGGAACGGCAUCCGGAACUGUCAGGCUAGAGUGCAGGAGAGGAAGGUAGAAUUCCCGGUGUAGCGGUGAAAUGCGUAGAGAUCGGGAGGAAUACCAGUGGCGAAGGCGGCCUUCUGGACUGACACUGACGCUGAGGUGCGAAAGCGUGGGUAGCAAACAGGAUUAGAUACCUGGUAGUC
rnacentral:rRNA from 1 species